rnacentral:rRNA from 1 species
UUAAACUGAAGAGUUUGAUCCUGGCUCAGAUUGAACGCUGGCGGCAUGCUUUACACAUGCAAGUCGAACGGCAGCGCGGGGCAACCUGGCGGCGAGUGGCGAACGGGUGAGUAAUAUA